GGGCCGGUAGAUCAGUCUGGUAGAUCGUCACGUUGGCAUCGUGAAGGUCCCGGGAUCGAAGCCCGGCCGGUCCACCA
rnacentral:tRNA from 1 species